rnacentral:rRNA from 1 species
GAUGAACGCUGGCGGCGUGCCUAAUACAUGCAAGUCGAGUGAACAGACGAGGAGCUUGCUCCUCUGACGUUAGCGGCGGACGGGUGAGUAACACGUGGAUAACCUACCUAUAAGACUGGGAUAACUUCGGGAAACCGGAGCUAAUACCGGAUAAUAUAUUGAACCGCAUGGUUCAAUAGUGAAAGACGGUUUUGCUGUCACUUAUAGAUGGAUCCGCGCCGCAUUAGCUAGUUGGUAAGGUAACGGCUUACCAAGGCAACGAUGCGUAGCCGACCUGAGAGGGUGAUCGGCCACACUGGAACUGAGACACGGUCCAGACUCCUACGGGAGGCAGCAGUAGGGAAUCUUCCGCAAAGGGCGAAAGCCUGACGGAGCAACGCCGCGUGAGUGAUGAAGGUCUUCGGAUCGUAAAACUCUGUUAUUAGGGAAGAACAAAUGUGUAAGUAACUAUGCACGUCUUGACGGUACCUAAUCAGAAAGCCACGGCUAACUACGUG